CAGUUUUCCAUAUCGGCACCAGAGUCUAUUAUACGACGGGAUUAGCUCGUUUUCCGAAAAGGUCAAACACAAAGUCAUGAAACCUGUGACCCCUAGUGGACACAGAGCAAUGAAAUCACCAAGAUCUGUGCAGCGAGCGGUAUCAGUGCGCCAUGAUGUUGCAAAUACAGACGAGGCGAUGAUGGAAUGUUCCAGCUGGGAUUCCUAAUGGCUGGAGAGGAAGCAUGUGAGGUCCAGAGAGGAA